rnacentral:misc_RNA from 1 species
AAGCGGUAACAAGGUUUCCAUAGGCGAGCCUGCGGAAGGAUCAUUCACAACAAGUGUUUUAUGGCACUUUUUCAAUCCAUAUCCACCUUGUGUGCAAUGUUGUCUUGUAACGCGAAUGCUUGCCAUUUGCGCUACAGGAUGUCAACUUUGUCUGAAAGCCUGUAUGAAUACUUGAUUCAAAUAGAACUUUCAAUAAUGGAUCUCUUGGCUCCC